CCCUUGAUGGUCCAGAGGUUAGGACUCAGUGCUUUCACUGCCGUGGCCCAAGUUCAAUCCCUGGUCGGGGAA
rnacentral:tRNA from 1 species